CAGUAGCCACGGGAAUACGUAGGUGGCAAGCGUUGUCCGGAAUUAUUGGGCGUAAAGGGCUCGCAGGCGGUUUCUUAAGUCUGAUGUGAAAGCCCCCGGCCCAACCGGGGAGGGUCAUUGGAAACUGGGAAACUUGAGUGCAGAAGAGGAGAGUGGAAUUCCACGUGUAGCGGUGAAAUGCGUAGAGAUGUGGAGGAACACCAGUGGCGAAGGCGACUCUCUGGUCUGUAACUGACGCUGAGGAGCGAAAGCGUGGGGAGCGAACAGGAUUAGACACCCCCGUAGUCCCUGUCUCUUAUAU
rnacentral:rRNA from 1 species